CCUACGGGCGGCUGCAGUCGAGAAUCAUUCACAAUGGGGGAAACCCUGAUGGUGCGACGCCGCGUGGGGGAAUGAAGGUCUUCGGAUUGUAAACCCCUGUCAUGUGGGAGCAAAUUAAAAAGAUAGUACCACAAUAGGAAGAGACGGCUAACUCUGUGCCAGCAGCCGCGGUAAUACAGAGGUCUCAAGCGUUGUUCGGAAUCACUGGGCGUAAGGCGUGCGUAGGCUGUUUCGUAAGUCGGGUGUGAAAGGCGCGGGCUCAACCCGCGGACGGCACAUGAUACUGCGAGACUAGAGUAAUGGAGGGGGAACCGGAAUUCUCGGUGUAGAAGUGAAAUGCGUAGAUAUCGAGAGGAACACUCGUGGCGAAGGCGGGUUCCUGGACAUUAACUGACGCUGAGGCACGAAGGCCAGGGGAGCGAAAGGGAUUAGAUACCCUGGUAGUC
rnacentral:rRNA from 1 species